AAGAAGGUUUUCGGAUCGUAAAACUCUGUUGUUAGAGAAGAACAAGGAUGAAAGUAACUGUUCAUCCCUUGACGGUAUCUAACCAGAAAGCCACGGCUAACUACGUGCCAGCAGCCGCGGUAAUACGUAGGUGGCAAGCGUUGUCCGGAUUUAUUGGGCGUAAAGCGAGCGCAGGCGGUUUCUUAAGUCUGAUGUGAAAGCCCCCGGCUCAACCGGGGAGGGUCAUUGGAAACUGGGAGACUUGAGUGCAGAAGAGGAGAGUGGAAUUCCAUGUGUAGCGGUGAAAUGCGUAGAUAUAUGGAGGAACACCAGUGGCGAAGGCGGCUCUCUGGUCUGUAACUGACGCUGAGGCUCGAAAGCGUGGGGAGCAAACAGGAUUAGAUACC
rnacentral:rRNA from 1 species